ACCACUAAUCAAACACUUGGCUGCUUAUUCAUGUUUGAGCAUCGAUCGGUCUCACUCGUGAGAAUCUUAUGUUGUGAUUUUCUUCCUAGCACCUACCUGGGGAGUUCCCAACCCACUAGACAUGCCUAGGCCGCACAGAACACAUGGCAAUGCCACGGUCACGCGGUGACCACGCGGCGGGCAUGCGAGUUUACGCGCUCUAGAGUUGGGGCCCUCAGCCACCGUCCAAACCUUGACGUAUCGCCACCAAACCAUGUGUUUAUGAUGAAAUAGGUACUUAUGUAACUAGAAAUGAUUUUUAAAAAAAAUAAAUAGCAAACUAUGAGGCAGCUGCAGUUCAAAUUUGACCCGCUUCCUACUGAAUCGGCAGGAAUUUGUCUUUUUCACCAGAGGUGGAUCAAAAAAUUUGACACCCAACCAUUUUGUCAAUUGUGCAUUAUAUAUGGCCUAGUAUUUUAUAAAAUUGAUUAGGUCCAAUUUUGCAACAAAUAUAUGGUAGGUCCUUCACAAAAAAACUCAUUUUGGGCACUUGAAAAAAUGGAAAAUGAAUUUUUCGUGGAAAGAAAAUGAAAACUUCCUUAGGAAACAUUGUUUGUCAUUCCAAGAUGCACCCUUGUGCACGAUAUGUGGUCAUUUGAACAAACUAUGACAUGAAUGUGGCCAUAAGAUUGAUCAUUUGGCUUGAAAUCCAUGAAUCUUCACACAUGAUAGCUCAUUUCUGAGAACACUUUUUUAAAAUAAUUACCAUAUUACAACUUUAUUAUUUUUCUGGUAACUUGGUCACAUAUGAUGAAACAAUGCGAAGGUUUUCCAAUUUUUUGAUUUUUUUGAAUUUUUUAUGCCCGUUUCAAAAUGCGGUCAAAACGGCGGGCAUGACCGUUCCUAGCUAGUGGUUGAAUCUUGGAACUUUUUUGGUGUUUCUCUGAUUAAAUAGAUACUUAUGUACCUAGAAAUGAUUUUUGGAAAAAAUAAAGAGCAAACUACGAGGUAGCUAUAGUUCAAAUUUGACCCGCUUCCAGCUGAAUCGGCGAAAAUUUGUCUUUUUCACGAGAGGUGGAUCAAAACUUUUUACACAUAACCAUUUGGUUAAUUGUGCAUUAAAUAUGUCCUAGUAUUUUUUUAAAAUUGAUUUGGUACAAUUUUGCAACAAAUAUAUGGUAGGUCCUUCACAAAAAAACUCAUUUUAGGCACUCGAAAAAAUGGAAAAUGAAUUUUUCGUCCAAAGAAAAUGAAAACUCCCUUAGGCAACAUUGUUUGGAAUUCCAAGAUGCACCCUUGUGCACAAUAUGAGAUCAUUUGAACAAACUAUGCCAUGAAUGUGGCCAUAAGAUUGAUCAUUUGGAUUGAAAGCCAUGAAUCUUCACGCAUGAUAGCUCAUUUCUGAGAACACUUUUUUAAAAUAAUUGUCGUAUUACAAGUUUAUAAUUUUUGCUGGUAACUUGGCCACAUAUGAUGAAACAAUGCGAAGGUUUUCCAAUUUUUUGAUUUUUUUUUUGAAUUUUUUAUGCCCGUUUCAAAAUGCGGUCAAAACGGCGGGCAUGACCGUUCGUAGCUAGUGGUUGAAUAUUGGAUUUUUUUGGUGUUUCACUGAUUAAAUUGAUACUUAUGUACCGAGAAAUUAUUUUUGGAAAAAAUAAAUAGCAAAUUAUGAGGCAGCUGCAGUUCAAAUUUGACCCGCUUCUAGCUGAAUCGGCGGAAAUUUGUCUUUUUCAUGAGAGGCGGAUCGAAUCUUUUGACACCCAGCCAUUUUGUCAAUUGUGCAUUAAAUAUGUCCUAGUAUUUUAGAAAAUUGAUUUGGUCCAAUUUUGCAAAAAAUAUAUGGUACGUCCUUCACAAAAAAAUUCAUUUUCGGCACUCACAAAAUGGAAAAUGAAUUUUUCGUCAAUUACGACCAAUUUUUUAUUCAACUAUGACCAAUUGAGAUGGUCAUAACAUCGUACGCGUAUACUGCAUUUUGAUUGGUCCGUGGGCGUUUCACGCGGAUCAUGCAUGGAACACCGUCGGAUGCUCGUGGAUCCAACGGCGGUCCUCAGCCCAAGCCCACCUAGGCCGAAACCCUAGCUCUUUCCUUGUCGACAUUUUCCAUCCACCCCCCGCCUCCUUUCUUUCGCUCCUCGUGCUGCCAAUUCCCCUAGCUCUCUUCUCCUUCCUUGCUCCGUCCGCGCACGCCAUGGCCGCCCGCACGCCCCUCCGUUGCCGGCGUUGACCCGCAGUCCACCUUCCCAUCUUUCGCUCCCUCUCUCCACCCGUCGAUCCCAUCGAUCCACGGCCAGAUCCACCGCCUCUCGCGGCAUCCCAUCGGUCCACGGCCAGAUCCACCGCCCACCCCGACCCACUUCUCGUUCCACCCACCCCGAUCCAUUCCCCCUCGUCUCCGCCGCCCCCACCCAGCUGCGCCGCGGCGAAGCCCGUCCUCCACGUAGCCGCCGUCUGCGGCCCCUCCUCCCCUCCUCUCUCUCCCGCUCGAUUCACUUGUCGCUGCCACCUCCCACGCUCGAUCCCGGCGAGGAUGCAGCAGUCGAUCCCGGCGAGGACGGCGGCGGCGAGGUCGGCGCCCUCGUCGAGCGGCACGCGGCGCUGGUGGCGGGGUCUGGCCAGCGACGCCGAGAUCUGCUGCGGCGCGACGCUGACGCGGUCCGUCACGGCCGCCCUUAGUUUCUGCACGCCCAACGAGAUCGGCUGCACGGUCACCAUGCCCAGGUCCAUGCCCUGCUCCCUCUGCUCUUUUUUCACUCUCGGCCGCUGCCGCCGUGUAGAAUUUGAUGCUGCCAUGGUCGUUCCCUCGAUUUGAUCGCCGCAUUCGUGGAUCAGGAUCAGGAGCCCCUUGACCGGACGGCGGCCGGUGGUGCGGAGGUCGCCUGGAGCCGGAGCUUGCCCCAGCGCCAUGCCUUUCCAGAGCUCGAGUGGAUGCACUCAUCGCUGCUUGAUCUGUAAGUGUUGGGUCUGUAGCUAGAAGAUGCUAGGGUUCUUGAUUCCUGCUGCUAUCGAGAUUCAGGCGGUGGUGGUCUUAGAUUUUUUUAUAGCAAUAUAGUCUGGUGCGGAGUACUCCUUGCUCCAACAAAAGGAUUGCAUCAGCCAUUAGCAGCAUCUCCCUCCGUCCUCUGCUCAGUAGGAGCAAGAUGGAGUCGAUGGAGCAGAGUAGUGGAGUCUGCAUUUUCUUCUUCUGUCAGACAGACAUCCACAUGCUGUACCGAUUCUUAGUUCAAAGAUAGGGAUGUAUAUAUGGUUGCCGAUCUCUCCAUGCAUGGAACAAUAGCUUUUUAUGUAGGAUCCAUUCCGUAUAGAUGAGUCACAACAUUGAUUUCUUGAUCCAUUUGGAAACUAAAAGAAAGUACAGAGAGGAGGAACUUGUUGGUAGAACUUCAUCAUAUUCAGCAGACGGAGUCCACAGGUGUAGCAUUUUGUCUAGUACACCCAGCACCACCUGAGGAUCCAAUCCACUGUUAGAAAGUUAGAAACUGAUAUUACAGGUUCCUUAUAGUGCAAACCAAAGCAACUACUCCAACAACCAUCAAAUGAAACCAUGUUCUUUAAAAUUAAAGGGUCUGAUUGAUAUUGGUCCUUCUUUUGACAGGUAUAAUAUGUAUCCUGACUUGUUAUUUUCUUCUCUAGCAAGCACUAUGGCAUCAACUUCGUGGUGGCCAGCGCGAUGGCCAUCGAGCACAACUUCUUCGCCAAGAACAACCUCAGCGUGGACAUCACGCCGCAGUACAUCAUGAUGGAGCUCGGCUGGUUCGACGCCCAUCUCAAGACGCCAUAUACCCCUGCCAGUACCUGAUUGUUCUCAUUCAUUAUUGUGGAGCAGCGCUUGCUUGUCCAAAUCUAUUUGUUUGAAUUAAUGCCAACAUGUACAUAUUUACACAGGAGAGAUAGCUAGAUUUUCCAACUAAGAAGUGAUAAUAAAAAUGUGGUUGUUUUAACCUAGAGGUUAAUAAAACACUUUGAUAGUUCUGUUCCCGAGCAUUUUUGUCAGUUUGCAGUUACUUGUGCUGAGAUACUAGUCUCUUUCCCUGUCUAGAAAAUGUGAUGUGUAUUUCUUGUCGAGAGUAUAAUAUUCCAUGGCCACAACAAACAAGAUGUUAUUUCUAGUGCUAGCCUUUUGUUGUAUUAAAGUACUGUAUAUAGUAGGAGCACUUUGUCUUCAGAGACAGCAAUCAUGAGUAAUGCAGUCGCUUCCAUUGCAUACUUGCUCUAGCUGCAAGUACUUGGAAAUUCCUAUGACGUGCAUUUUUGGAUGAGGGAUCACAUAUCUUGUGUGUUGCAUGAAUGCCAUAUGAACUGAAGUAUUGUAAGUACUACUUGCCGCUGAUCUUGUGUGUUGCAUGGAUGCCAUCUACACCAUCGGUCAAUGCAGGACACUGCCAGUUGCUCUGUAGUGUAUCUUAUCCUGCCGUUCUCAAGGUAGGACCGCGAAUUGGAAGCCUGCAGUAUGUAUUGUGUGGCUUGCCCCUUUUGGGAGAGGUAAUUUUCUUAUAGUCAGUCUAGUCUGCCUGUGUUUGUAUACUAAUUAUCAUUUACUAGAAUUUAGCUUCUGCUUGCUACUGCCUGGUUCUUGACGCCAGUAUUUUGUACUAAAACGUGCAUAUUUCACCCCUUGCCAGAUUCUUCAGUGGAGGUGACCCAUGUGAUGGCGAUUCACUCCAUCCGCUCCGGUUCCGGCGGCGGUGGUGGUGGUGCUCCUAUGAUGGCUAUACGCUGGUAGGCUUGGCUGCCUUCCCUGGCCGCCGCCAUGGUGAUGAAGCUGAGCCUAGGCUACAACCCCCUCGAGUGAGAACCUCAGCUCCCCUUCUACCCCUCCUACUUGCUCUAUGAUUCUAUGCCUGCCUUUGUGAGGUGUAAUUGUUCAAUUUUUGUCAUAGUCGAGCAUUGGAUGAUAUUGUAUCUGUCAUGAUGUACAUGGUUCAUGAAGUAUGCAAACCUACAGCUUGUUGUGCUAGUGAUAGUAGGAUAAUGCAGCUUGUUGUACUAAUGAUACUACUAUGGCUUUCACAUUCAUUCAUCCUCUGAUUGUUCUAGGAGUCCUCAUUCAUUUGAAAAAUCUGUGCACAUGUAGUCAUUCGGGAGAAGCAUCCCCAUACUAGCACAUGUAUUUGAAAAAUAUAUUCAAAUUUGUUCAUUCCGGAGUUUCAGCAUGUGGAGGGGAGGAAGGGAUCAGGGAGUUGAGUUGCUUGACUUUCUUUUGUAAUAUAUAAUUUGUGCAUAUGCUGUGACACGAUCGAUGAUUAUUAUUGUAGUUUCAGCGUGUGUUGAACUUAAUGAAACGGUUGGUUGUGGUUUUCUGAAUCCUGUACUGUUGAUGUCGCAGGGGAAGGGAUCUUGGAGUGACGGCUACCUUUGAGAUGUACCGGUGGGCUGCCAUCGGGAUGAUUCUCACGUAGACGGUGAACGAGAUGGUUUUUAGCUGUGCGCCCAGUCCUGAACUCGCCAUUUGUGUCCUCCUGCAGUUCCAGAAGGUUCAGUCGUGAACGCUAACUGACAGGACUCUAAACUAUGCCCUUCUCAUUUCUGCCCAAUUCGCCAUGGAUAGGUUUCUUGCUGGUUGAGCGCAGGAACACUCUGCAUAGUUGAGGCGACGAUGCAGACCAAAUAUUCUUCAAGUACAUACCCAUCCACUGCAUCGGCUUGGAGUUGGGUAUGCAUGAGGUCUCCUUUUACUUACUCCGUACUCGAAGGUGGAACAAAAUCUUGCUUGUUCAGUAUGGUCCAACCUAGCAUGUAUAUAUACCCAGUAGUUUGUGUUCUUGAUAUCUACAUGUAGCGUCAUGAGGAAUAAACCUGCUGAUUUCAUAUGUCGUCAUAUGGAAGUCACCAGACUUUUUUUAUCAACACUAAUUUCAGAUAGAUAGGUGCUGCUUACCAUACCUAAGAGUGUAGCAUGCUGUGAAGGGAUACUCCAAAGUAGAAAAUUAAAAGAUGUUAGUAAAAUCAGUAUGCAUCCCUAGUGAUGCUUUAUCUUGUUAUUUUUGUCUGAGUGUUGUGCUGUAGCAUCACUGACUAGUAUGUUUUUUUUCAAGGUCUAUACAAGUGCCAUCUAUGUCUGGCAACAUAAGCCUCUUGUCAUGUCAUGUAUCUAUUAUCACGUUAGAUGUUUUAUUAAGUGAAUGUUGUAUUUCUUGAAAGCGUCGAUGUACUGAUGCGAACACUGCUUGUGUACUUAUGACUAAUCAGUUUUCCCCUCUCUUAUAUAGGAGUUCCUAGGUCGAAGAAAUUCGAAGAAGCUCGAAGCCACUGUCAGCGACUUUCUUUAUAUGUUAUUGAACUUGUAAUGCAGAAUUUGCUUGGAAUUUUGAUGUAAGGCUGAUCUUGCUGGGAAUUGGGUGUAUAUUUACUUGCUGUACUUGUUAUUCAAAUGCUGGUUGUACUUGUUAUACAAAUGCUUGGAAUUUAAAUUUGUGCUAAAUGUAUACAUAGUACUGAAAGAGGCCUUGGCCCAAACGCUACUGGACCUAAAAAGGCCACUGACCAAACAUAGUUGAACUCGGUUUCAGCAAAUACCAGUAUAUUAAUUCUUGAAAAUAAAUAAAAUGAACUGUAAAAAGGCGAGUUAUGAAAUUUAAAAGGAGAGCAAAAAAGGCCGAGGCUACAAAAAAUGAAUUGACUGUAAUAGGCUGUGGCCUAGAAAUUAAAUGCCCGAAUAGUUGGGCCUGACCCAUAUAGCUGACCGAAAUUAAUAAGAAAAAAACAUAUAAAAGGCUGAAUUGUUGGGCUCGGCCCAUGUAAAACAUCAAAUUGGACCGGGCCGAUUCUAAUUUACAACCUUUUCAUUUGGUCGUAAUUCUGCCACAUCAGCUUGUGUAACACCCCAAAAUUUUGACAUUGAUUUAUUAAUUAAAAUUUUGCGAGGAAAUUAAAUUUUUUAUUUUCUGGUUUUAUCUGUUAAUUUCAGAUCACUCUGUCCCUCUGAAUUUUUGAGUUUUUCCUUCUAGAUGGAAACCUUUCAAAAAUAUUGUUGGACUUGUAUAUCUUCCCAAGACAUUUCUUUUUUUAUCAGUGGAAUUAUUUCUACAAUUAUUUUUCCUGAGCUUUAUUUCUUUAAAAAUGAUUUUUCAUAUGUUUUAGAGUUCCAUUUGCACUACAACCCUUUCAAAUACUUCUUUAAAAACUCCACCAAACUUUGGGGAUGUCAUGUGAUGUUCCCACAUCACUUUUAUGCAAAAAUCCCUUUUAGUCAUUUGGAGAUUUUGAGCCCUACCUCAAGUUUUCAAAUUUUGUCCAGUUUGUAAUUUGCACUACAAUCUAUUUAAAUAUUUCUUUAAAAUUCCCACCAAAAUUGGGGGUGUUAGUAGUAGUGUAUAAUUCAACUAUAUGCAAAAACCCAUUGGUGUUCUUUGAAAAAUUUGAGCAAAUUAUCCUCAUCUUCAUUCUGGUCCAGUUUAGUGUUUUGCACUACAACCAUAUUUUAUCUUGCUCUUGUUGCCUUGGGAUUUGUCUUGCUUUUUGACCACUCUACCAAACCCUUAAGUCCAGGAGAUUGGACCCAUUGGAGUAUUUUUGGUCCAUGCAACAAUGCCCUUCACUUUCUGUCCAGAACUGAAGAUUUGCAAAUCUCGCACUAACAAGUUUCUGGUUUUUCCCAAAUAGCCUUGCCAUCAUCACUUGCACCUAAAGAGACCCCAACCUGGAGAUUUCGGCCACCAGAAGAGAUGCAUAGAUGCCCAUGGCAUUCUGUCGAGCACCUUGUGUUCAUGGACAACUUUGGCAUAGUUUUAUGUUUGCACUGUGAUCUUGCCCCUCUGGACAAACCAGCAUGUCCACUAGUCUCCUAGCCACCACUAACCUAGACAUGUUAACUACCAGCCUCAUUCAAGCCCUCUAGCACGCGUUGGCAUUUCGUCGAGCACCUGGCGUGCAUGCCCAGAGCGCACGUUUUGCACCCGCGCGCAACCGAGCCGCCGCGUCUUGCCCCUGGCCUUUGCUCACCCCCAGGGCCACGCCCUGGCCUCACACGCUUGCCAGAACCCUCCAAGCCACCCCUGGCGCCCUACAGCGCCGCCGUCAGAGCUCCCUUGGCGGCACGCCGGCGUCCGCAGCAGGCUCCUACCAUGGACGGUGCCGCCCGAGCCACUCCAGCACGCCAGCUCGCCCCUGAACAGCCCGAGCUCAUCCACGAGCCCGUCCGCUAGCGCCCGUCGCCGCCAUGUUGCCCUGCUAGCAACCGAACGGCGGUUCGCCGGCAUUCUUAUCCGCAGCCGCGGGAACCGACCUCGACCGCCUAUAAAAGGAGCCCCCGAGCUCGUCCAGACCCUCAGGCGACCUCAGGCCAUCUCCCUAGUGCUCGCAUAGCCAACAAUCGACGGAGGGAGGCCGUCUACCUCGUCCCCGGCCAGUUCGUCCGCCGCCACGCUCCGGUGCCGAACGUCGCGAGCAGGGCCUCCCCAGCUCAUCCAGCGCCACCGUCCGACUCCCCUCAACCGUGCGGAGCCGCCCCACCUCUCUAGCCCGAUCGGGAGCCACCAUAGCUCGAGACCCCGAUCCACCCGAAACCACCGUCCGCUGCGGAGCUCGCCGCCGGCGACCCCCUCCACCCCCGCCAGCCUAUCAACCACAGGGAGGAUCGCCCUGGACCAGCGAAUCCAUCCCCGCCCUCGGAAUCCCGCGGGGAGCCGCCGUUCGUCGUCAGCGAUCGCCGGAGCCCCGCCACCGCUCGGCCAGAGGAGAAGGAGGCGCGGGCGACUGGUCAAACCUGACCAGUGGGCCCAAGGGACCCACUGUCAGUGACCCAUGAGUCGACCCACGCUGGCUUAAGUGGAAACGUAUUCCACCGAAGACGCCUUCGCUAGGGGAAAGCGUAAGCCCCCGAACCGUUUUCUUUUUCUGUUUUUUAUUAAAAACAGAAUUUUGACUAAACUUUGACUGGCUAUAACUUUUUAAAUAUAAGUCCAAUUGAUUUGAAUUUUUUUCUGUUGUUUCUCAAAUUUUGUCUAGUUUAUUUUCAUAUUUAUUUGAAAAUUUUACAAACAACUUUUUGUACUGUUUUGAAACUAUGUGUUAAUUUAAAUUUUCUUAAAAUAGGACUUUUGAAGAAGGAAGCAACUUUCAAAAAGUGCACCCCACUUACAUACUCUUGAAGGCAAGCAUUCUGAACCCUGGCAUAAUAUUUGUUGUGCGUCAUUUGAUGCAAAUACGACACCACCUUGACGCGAAGUAUUCGAUAUUUUAUGUGGUGUUAUGAUCACAUUCAUGAGUGCAUAAUGAUGAUUCCUUGCUGUUGGAAUUUGAUAUGCUUCGGAUAGUAAUCACCCUCGUAUGCCUUUCAUGCCUAUCGGGAGGAAUCCGAGAAAGUCUCUAUCUUGACUAGACACGAACUUGUCGCUAAUAAUUCGUUGAGACGAUUAUGCCCGAUAAGGCAGGGUGAGGUAUGAUGAGUGGUGAUUCUCUCUGUUGGUGUGAAAUAUAUUUGCUAUACUAAUCCUGCAGGGAAUGCCUUAACCUCCUGAGUCGACCGUAAAUCGAGUCUUGUUACAGUAACCCCCAUACUUUUUUCGUACUACCACUUGUCCCUGCCAUAGAUAGGGUACGGUUCAGUAAGUUGUCAACCCCUUCCUAGCACACACCGUACAGAGAGGCCAUGGUGGAAGAUACCGGCUACAUCCGGUAGACAUGCCACCUGGUCCGGGGGCAUGGGUGUUUCCGGUUGGAGCCGAGGGGGUAGCUCCCCUAGUUUGCGCGCGUUAUAAAUUUUGUGAUCCCAUGCUAGUCGAGGUUGUAGCCUCCCCACUUAGAGUUUUGCUUAAUGGGUGUCGUGGGUGAUUCCAGACACCGGUAAGUUAGACUGGUGUGUGCGGUCAGGUGUGUUUUCAAUUAAAAGACCGUAGACGGAAUUAGUCCCGAUGGACUAAAGGAAUCCGUUACUCGUGGGUAAAGAGUACACCCUCCGCAGAGAUUAUAUCUAUUCGAAUAGCCGUGUCCAUGGUUAAGGACUACAGUCUGGGAUGGGUCAAGUGUCGGUCUUCGGAGGAAAAAUUGCUAAACCAGAACAUGGAUGGAUCAUGACUUGUGACUCAUGAUGAUUAUGAUUACUAUUAUUAUGGACUAACCAUUUACAUUAUUUGAAUUAUUGAGUAUCCCUAGGACGGUUCUACCUCCUGGAUAUUCACUAUGAUCAUUCUCUUAUAAGCCCUUUAUGUGGCGUCGCUCAGACGCCCAACUGUGGCAUGCUUGUUAUUUAAAUUACUUAUAAGCCCUUUAUGCGGUGUCGCUCAGACGCCCGACUGUGGCAUGCUUGUUAUUUAAAUUAUUUAUAAGCCCUUUAUGUGGUGUCGCACAGACGCCCGACUGUGGCAUGCUUGUUAUUUCUNNNNNNNNNNNNNNNNNNNNNNNNNNNNNNNNNNNNNNNNNNNNNNNNNNNNNNNNNNNNNNNNNNNNNNNNNNNNNNNNNNNNNNNNNNNAUGGAUCAUGACUUGUGACUCAUGAUGAUUAUGAUUACUAUUAUUAUGGACUAACCAUUUACAUUAUUUGAAUUAUUGAGUAUCCCUAGGACGGUUCUACCUCCUGGAUAUUCACUAUGAUCAUUCUCUUAUAAGCCCUUUAUGUGGCGUCGCUCAGACGCCCAACUGUGGCAUGCUUGUUAUUUAAAUUACUUAUAAGCCCUUUAUGCGGUGUCGCUCAGACGCCCGACUGUGGCAUGCUUGUUAUUUCUAUUAUUUAUAAGCCCUUUAUGUGGUGUCGCACAGACGCCCGACUGUGGCAUGCUUGUUAUUUCUUUUAUUUAUAAGCCCUUUAUGUGGUGUCGCUCAGACGCCCGAGUGAGGCAUGAUUUAUCUUAUUAUCCUUUCGAGGCAUCGCUUCAGACACCCGAUCGGUGCAUUCUAUUUCUACUCCCUUAUUUCAUAUUCAUGUCGUAUAUGAAUAACCUGCUUGCGUGCAUCAUGGAUUUUUAUUUUGUGACUAUCAUGAAAUAUUUCAGAGCAUGAUUAUCAUUCAGUAUGUUAUACCUGUGUUCAUAAUGUUUGCGAGUACAUUCAAAGUACUCACUGGCUUGUCCCUGGCUAUUGUCUUGGCCAGAUUUCUUGCAUGGAGAGGAGCGUUGCGAUGACAGCUCCGGAACCUACGCGAUGAUGAUAGCAGCCUCGCGAAGAUAGGAGUUAUCCAGGUCAGCUGUUCCUGUGGGAAAUGGAGUCCCAUAGACGCUGAUGAACCGCAAACCGCUUCAGCCAUCAACCACUAGAAACCAUUUGUUGUACUCAUAGGCCAGAAUGGUCUUGUACUACACAUUUUGUAUUUUGCUUGGAGUUUCUGUAUCAAGUUGGUGUCUCAUCAGCUAACAGUAAUCCUGGGGCUGGUGAGCAUAAGAGCUAUUUUCUGGGAAAUUAAUAUCCUGAAAAUCCAGUCCUUGACAGCUUGCCACGGUGGAUCUGACGUGGUGUGGGCGGAUUGCUAGUGACCAAAAUAAUUGGUCGUUGAAUCUACGACCUUUUUUUUGGUCGUAAACGUCUACGACCAUUCCAGAUGAAAGGUCGUUAAUUUUAGUUUACGACGGCCAGCUUUUGACCAUCUGUUUUUGGUCACAAAUGAAAAACAGUGACCAUUCAGUGACCAAUAGUCAAGGUCACAAGUUGACAUAUUUCUUGUAGUGCAUGGCCGAUUCAUACAUGUGAUGUCAUCACAAAGAACGUGUUAAAGGAGAAAGGGGGAGGAGUUGUGGAUGGAACUAAAACGCGCACCAUGGAAAACUAGGCAAAACCACGUACACAGACUCUUACACGGACCCGUGAACGGGCUAUACGGCGAAACGGGAAAAAAACUGGCCGACGCCCGUCGUGGACGGAAGUGGACGCGCGCCAAUGAAAACUGGGCAAAACCACGUACAAGGCACACACACGUACAGGGACCCUUACACGGACCCAUGAAUGGGCUGUAUGUGGACACGGGAAAAAAGCGGCCGACGCCCAUCAUGGACGGAAUGGGACGCGUGCCAUGGAAAACAGGGUAAAACCACGUACGAGGCACACACACGUACACGGACCGUUACACGGACCCGUGAACGGGUGGUACGUGGACACAGGANNNNNNNNNNNNNNNNNNNNNNNNNNNNNNNNNNNNNNNNNNNNNNNNNNNNNNNNNNNNNNNNNNNNNNNNNNNNNNNNNNNNNNNNNNNNNNNNNNNNNNNNNNNNNNNNNNNNNNNNNNNNNNNNNNNNNNNNNNNNNNNNNNNNNNNNNNNNNNNNNNNNNNNNNNNNNNNNNNNNNNNNNNNNNNNNNNNNNNNNNNNNNNNNNNNNNNNNNNNNNNNNNNNNNNNNNNNNNNNNNNNNNNNNNNNNNNNNNNNNNNNNNNNNNNNNNNNNNNNNNNNNNNNNNNNNNNNNNNNNNNNNNNNNNNNNNNNNNNNNNNNNNNNNNNNNNNNNNNNNNNNNNNNNNNNNNNNNNNNNNNNNNNNNNNNNNNNNNNNNNNNNNNNNNNNNNNNNNNNNNNNNNNNNNNNNNNNNNNNNNNNNNNNNNNNNNNNNNNNNNNNNNNNNNNNNNNNNNNNNNNNNNNNNNNNNNNNNNNNNNNNNNNNNNNNNNNNNNNNNNNNNNNNNNNNNNNNNNNNNNNNNNNNNNNNNNNNNNNNNNNNNNNNNNNNNNNNNNNNNNNNNNNNNNNNNNNNNNNNNNNNNNNNNNNNNNNNNNNNNNNNNNNNNNNNNNNNNNNNNNNNNNNNNNNNNNNNNNNNNCACGGACCGUUACACGGACCCGUGAACGGGCGGUACGUGGACACGGGAGAAAAGUGGCCGACGCCCGUCGUGUAUGGAACCGGACGCGCGCCAUGGAAAACUGGGCAAAACCACGUACGAGGCACACACACAUACACGGACCCUUACACGGACCCGUGAACGGGCUGUACGUGGACAUGGGAAAAAAGCGUCCGACGCCCGUCGUGGACAGAACGGGAUGCGCACCAUGGAAAACAGGGCAAAACCACAUAAGAGGCACACACACGUACACGGACCCGUGAACGGGUGGUACGUGGACACGGGAAGUAUUCGAUAUUUUAUGUGGUGUUAUGAUCACAUUCAUGAGUGCAUAAUGAUGAUUCCUUGCUGUUGGAAUUUGAUAUGCUUCGGAUAGUAAUCACCCUCGUAUGCCUUUCAUGCCUAUCGGGAGGAAUCCGGGAAAGUCUCUGUCUUGAGUAGACACGAACUUGUCGCUAAUAAUUUGUUGAGACGAUUAUGCCCGAUAAGGCAGGGUGAGGUAUGAUGAGUGGUGAUUCUGUCUGUUGGUGUGAAAUAUAUUUGCUAUACUAAUCCUGCAGGGAAUGCCUUAACCUCCUGAGUCGACCGUAGAUCGAGUCAUGUUCCAGUAACCCCCAUACUUGUUUCGUACUACUACUUGUCCCUGCCAUAGAUAGGGUACGGUUCAGUAAGUUGUCAACCCCUUCCUAGCACACACCGUACAGAGAGGCCAUGGUGGAAGAUACCGGCUGCAUCCAGUAGACAUGCCACCUGGUCCAGGGGCAUGGGUGUUUCCGGUUGGAGCCGAGGGGGUAGCUCCCCUAGUUUGCGCGCGUUAUAAAUUUUGUGAUCCCAUGCUAGUCGAGGUUGUAGCCUCCCCACUUAGAGUUUUGCUUAAUGGGUGUCGUGGGUGAUUCCAGACACCAGUAAGUUAGACUGGUGUGUGCGGUCAGGUGUGUUUUCAAUUAAAAGACCGUAGACAGAAUUAGUCCCGAUGGACUAAAGGAAUCCGUUACUCGUGGGUAAAGAGUACACCCUCUGCAGAGAUUAUAUCUAUUCGAAUAGCCGUGUCCAUGGUUAAGGACUACAGUCUGGGAUGGGUCAAGUGUCGGUCUUCGGAGGAAAAUUGCUAAACCAGAACAUGGAUCAUGACUUGUGACUCAUGAUGAUUAUGAUUACUAUUAUUAUGGACUAACCAUUUACAUUAUUUGAAUUAUUGAGUAUCCCUGGGACGGUUCUACCUCCUGGAUAUUCACAGUGAUCAUUCUCUUAUAAGCCCUUUAUGUGGCGUCGCUCAGACGCCCGACGGUGGCAUGCUUGUUAUUUAAAUUACUUAUAAGCCCUUUAUGUGGUGUUGCUCAGACGCCCGACUGUGGCAUGCUUGUUAUUUAAAUUAUUUAUAAGCCCUUUAUGUGGUGUCGCACAGACGCCCGACUGUGGCAUGCUUGUUAUUUCAAUUAUUUAUAAGCCCUUUAUGUGGUGUCGCACAGACGCCCGACUGUGGCAUGCUUGUUAUUUCUUUUAUUUGUAAGCCCUUUAUGUGGUGUCACUCAGACGCCCGACUGAGGCAUGAUUUAUCUUAUUAUCCUUUCGAGGCGUCGCUUCAGUCACCCGAUCGGUGCAUUCUAUUUUUACUCCCUUAUUGCAUAUUCAUGUCGUAUAUAAAUAACCUGCUUGCGUGCAUCAUGGAUUUUUAUUUCGUGACUGAAGUCGUGAUCAUGAAAUAUUUCAGAGCAUGAUUAUGAUCAAGUAUGUUAUACCUGUGUUCAUAAUGUUUGCGAGUACAUUCAAAGUACUCACUGGCUUGUCCCUGGCUAUUGUCUUGGCCAGAUUUCUUGCAUGGAGAGGAGCAUUGCGAUGACAGCCCCAGAACCUACGUAAUGAUGAUAGCAGCCUCACGAAGAUAGGAGUUAUCCAGGUCAGCUGUUCCUGUGGGAAAUGGAGUCCCAUAGACGCUGAUGAACCGCAAACCGCUUCCGCCAUCAACCACUAGAAACCAUUUGUUGUACUCAUAGGCCAGAAUGGUCUUGUACUACACAUUUUGUAUUUUGCUUGGAGUUUCUGUAUCAAGUUGGUGUCUCAUCAACUAACAGUAAUCCUGGGGCUGGUGAGCACAAGGGCUAUUUUCUGGGAAAUUAAUAUCCUGAAAAUCCGGACCUGACAACCUUGGUAUCAGAGCCAGGCUGACCAAUGGCUAAUCCUAUCUUAGCCAGGUCAAUAAACCUAGAUUAACCAAUCCACCAGACCAUAACCCAACCCCGGCCAAGCUUCUCAUGUAAGAUAGCCACACAGUGACCCCGACACCUUUUGGCAGUCGGUGCCCAACCUAUCAGCCUAGCCUGUCGAUCACGCGCUAGUGACCGACACCUAAAUAGUCUCUUUCCCAAGCGUGCGAAGGAAGACUCCGUCCCCUUUUUCUAUAAAAAGGGCACGCUAGCCUCAACCCAGCACAGCACAGCCUCUUCCCUAAACCGAGCUAUAAUGCCUGGCCCCAUUGUGCACAAUGAGACCACAGCUACCAACCUUAGAGGUUUUGUGACCGUGCUAGCAAACCUCACCAGCCGUGCCUUUGCAUUAGAAGAGCCCCCAGAAUAUGUUGUGUACCAAGGGCCCAUGAGCGGUGAGAGCCGUCAAUUCUGGGCCACUGUGCACGUCUAUCGUAGGGGUCUAUCGCCAGAACGCCCCUACAGGUUCACCGGAAGGACAACUUCCUUUGAGCCACAAGCCAUCCAACUAGCUGCUCGAGAGGCUAUAGUUCAUCUCCGGCACUUGUCGCCCAGAGUUAACUGUCACUCGUUCUACUACUACCCCAGCCGUGACGGGUAUGGUAGGCCACCCCAGGUUGCCAACGGAGAUCACGAGAUGGAUCCUGCAUUGUUGCAUCUGGUGCGCUAUGUAAGUGCACUAGAGGAACUGUUCGAUCAAAUCACCCUUGAUCUGAUCGCAGCUCGUGGAGAACUGGUUCGCCGAGCCCCGGCAAGAGGAGAAGAUGAGCCCGACGCCGACAACCCAGUCGUGCUGUUUGGACAACCGAUCGAGUCCUUGAGGUCUGCCCCAGCCAUCGACCAAAAUACUUUGGUGUCCCCAGAAGUGCUUCGUCGCCUUUUGGGAACACGCUCCAACGGGAUUGUGGCCAACAACCCCCGCGAUGGUCAUCAUCGCUACCCCGACCCUGCAGCCCCUCAACUCCAUCCAGCUAACCCCGACGGUGAAACCCGUGGAGAAGCCUCGACAUCCACAAGGCACGCCCGCUUAGAUAUUAACAAGGUAGACUAAGUCACUCGAGUAGUACCGAGUCUUAGUAUGUCCACACCCUGUAAUUGUGUGAUCUUGUAUCGCCAUAAUUAAAUGCUGUCUGCUUAUGUGCCCUAUUUUUGGAUGAUAACCAUGCAUAAGUAUGUUGGCGUACGGUUGCAUUUUUAAUUCCGGGCGCAGCUACCAAAAACCACCCCGACGAUACCCACAGUAAUACAUCACUUUUGUGAGAUAUGUGUAUCUGUGGCAUCGACCCCGACCCCAUAGAGCAGAUUCGACAAACUAGUUGCCCCACACCAUAAUCAAUAACCCAGCCCCAAUGCUAUAUAAAAGGCCACCUCGUGACCUUACCAUGUAUCCCUCACCUUGUGCACAACUCUCACAGCCAUUUCUUUGCCAUGCCAAGCCCUAGUAUUUAUCUGAGGACUCCAGAUGCAACCCCAGGUAGUUUUGUUAAAAUGUUGUGGGACUUUACCUGCAGUACCAUGAGUUCUACCCAUCCACCCCAGUACGAGUUACUCAAAUCAAGGAUCACCCCAUCCACCUCGAAAUAUUGGGCAGUGGUGCACAUCCCUCCUGCAAACCCAAACCAAGACCCAACGGAAGUCUCCUUUGUGGGGAAAUCUAUGCCGACUCCGCAAAUGGCCAUAGAAGCUGCUGCGUACGAAGCGCUUGCUCGCCUUCGAUUCGCGGUACCCUAUGCCAGCGAACAAGGGUAUUAUUACUUCCCGAGUCGUGCAGCACCCGGAGAAGUAGCAUCUUUUCCCGAUGGACGAAUCGAGAGAGAUCCAGUACUGGCCAACCUUGCCCAGUAUGUCAUCGCUCAAGAGCAUUUGACCCAACGAGUAAUGGGUUAUCUCCAGAGCCUCGCUGAUUUAAAUCCUCAGAUCGCCAUCGGCAGACCACUGAGGCCCGACCAAGAGAGGCGCGUUCUUUGACUAGUCAACCCGCUUCCCCCGAUAGAAGAGGAGUGUGCCCCAGUACUAGAGACGUUUCCUCAGGACCCUGUCUAUUUACCGUUUUCGUUGUAGACGUCACUGCUAUGUUUAUUGUCUCGGAAUUUGUUUAUGUGUUGCAACUUAUGCGUGGUAUCCUAAAUUUGUGCGAUGAAUUAAAUAUAUGGUUUCAAUUAAUGUGAGUAGUUUUUACUGCUGUUAAUUUUGAUUAACUGUUUUCACUCUCGGUAAAUUCUGAAGUGAGAUUUUUCCCUGAGUUGUUGCAGCGUAUAUCUCUUCACGACAUAGAUUUUUAUUCACGCAGCACCACGACAGCAGACGCACAACCACAACCACUCGACCACGUGCACUAAUUGCAAAUCCACGUGCACAUUUUGCACCUAACUGAUCAUCUCCCUAGCACACCACAGUCUCUGAAGGAGAGAUUUGUGGGUAAUUAUUCGGGUGCAAGUUGCCUCCAGCACACUGAGAACAGUUAGCACCCGACACCGCACUUAAUCCUCAUGAUCACCACCACCGCGGAGAGCUAACACUCGAGAGGCAGUAUCACGACGAUCAUCGAGGAUCAUCACGCACAAGAGCACGGAGAACCCCAGCAAUGCCGCUAACCCUCCGCACAUCAGGAUCAUGUACCAGUCCGGCAUCACCUCCGCCAUUAGAGCCUCGUUUCGAGCUCCUGCAAACAGAAAUGGAGGAGAAGGAAGGAGAAGGAGAAGCGAGGCCAGGUGUGAGGGAGAAGGAAGGAGCACCUUAGACAUUUUAUAGCUCGAGAUCGGUGUACGGUGGGCGAAGUCCACCAGCGCCGCUCGUCGCUCGAUCACCGGUGUUCGGAGGCGAAUCCGUGAGCAGUGCCGACAGCGCACUGGCCCGCGAGGUGAGUGCACGCUGCACCGGCAGCUAGCGCGCCGCGCACUACCGCAGUACGGCCUAGAUGCUCUAUGCGCUAGACAUCGCUGAUGGAGAAAGCGCGGGAAAGCGCGAGAGAGAGAGGAAGAAGAGAGAGCCAGAGGUAGAAGAAGAGACUGACAGUGAGCCCCGGGUCCAUCUGUCAGCCAGAGAGAGCACUGUGCUCUGGGGUACGACCAACGUAUUUUAGAAAUAUAGAAAUUUAUUCUAAAUUUACUGUAACCAAAAGUAGAAAUUUCUCGUUUCCCCCCAACCAUAGAUUUUUCCACGCAACGCCAGUAUUCCACACUGUAGUUUUACACCACUUAAUUGCCCAUUCACUGGAGCUACAUUUUAUUGCAUGAGUAGGAUGGUUAUUUUUGUGAUAUUGCUUUGAGAUAGUAGGAGUAAUUCUUUUCAAAGCAGCCCUUAGCAAAUCUCGAGGACGAGAUUUUUCUUAAGGGGGGUAGUGUUGUAACACCCCAAAAUUUUGACCUUGAUUUAUUAAUUAAAAUUUUGCCAGGAAAUUAAAAUUUUUAUUUUCUGGUUUUAUCUGUUAAUUUCAGAUAACUCUGUCCCUCUGAAUUUUUGAGUUUUUCCUUCUAGAUGGAAACCUUUCAAAAAUAUUGUUGGACUUGUAUAUCUUCCCAAGACCAUUUCUUUUUAUCAGUGGAAUUAUUUCUACAAUUAUUUUUCCUGAGCUUUAUUUCUUUAAAAAUGAUUUUUCAUAAGUUUUAGAGUUCCAUUUGCACUACAACCCUUUCAAAUACUUCUUUAAAAAUUCCACCAAACUUUGGGGAUGUCAUGUGAUGUUCCCACAUCACUUUUAUGCAAAAAUCCCUUUUAGUCAUUUGGAGAUUUUGAGCCCUACCUCAAGUUUUCAAAUCUGGUCCAGUUUGUAAUUUGCACUACAAUCUAUUUAAAUAUUUCUUUAAAAUUCCCACCAAAAUUGGGGAUGUUAGUAGUAGUGUAUAAUUCAACUAUAUGCAAAAACCCAUUGGUGUUCUUUGAAAAAUUUGAGCAAAUUAUCCUCAUCUUCAUUCUGGUCCAGUUUAGUGUUUUGCACUGCAACCAUAUUUUAUCUUGCUCAUGUUGCCUUGGGAUUUGUCCUGUUGUUUGACCACUCUACCAAACCCUUAAGUCCAGGAGAUUGGACCCAUUGGAGUAUUUUUGGUCCAUGCAACAAUGCCCUUCACUUUCUGUCCAGAAUUGAAGAUUUGCAAAUCUUGCACUAACAAGUUUCUGGUUUUUCCCAAAUAGCCUUGCCAUCAUCACUUGCACCUAAAGAGACCCCAACCUGGAGAUUUCGGCCGCCAGAAGAGAUGCAUAGAUGCCCAUGGCAUUCUGUCGAGCACCUUGUGUUCAUGGACAGCUUUGGCAUAGUUUUAUGUUUGCGCUGUGAUCUUGCCCCUCUGGACAAACCAGCAUGUCCACUAGUCUCCUAGCCACCACUAACCUAGACCUGUUAACUACCAGCCUCAUUCAAGCCCUCUAGCACGCGUUGGCAUUUCGUCGAGCACCUGGCGUGCGUGCUCUGGGCGCGCCCAGAGCGCAUGUUUUGCACGCGCGCGCAACCGAGCCGCCGCGUCUUGCCCCUGGUCUUUGCUCACCCCCAGGGCCACGCCCUGUCCUCACACGCUUGCCAGAAUCCUCCAAACCACCCCUGGCGCCCUACAGCGCCACCGUCAAAGCUCCCUUGGCGGCACGCCGGCGUCCGCAGCAGGCUCCUACCAUGGACGAUGCCGCCCGAGCCACUCCAGCGCGCCAGCUCGCCCCUGAACAGCCCGAGCUCAUCCACGAGCCCGUCCGCUAGCGCCCGUCGCCGCCACGUCGCCCUGCUAGCAACAGAACGGCGGUUCGCCGGCGUUCUUAUCCGGAGCCGCGGGAACCAACCUCGACCGCCUAUAAAAGGAGCCCCCGAGCUCGUCCAGACCCUCAGGCGACCUCAGGCCAUCUCCCUAGUGCUCCCAUAGCCAAAAUCGACGGAGGGAGGCCGUCUACCUCGUCUCCGGCCAGUUCGGCCGCCGCCACGCUCCGGUGCCGAACGUCGCGAGCAGGGCCUCCCCAGCUCAUCCAGCGCCACCGUCCGACUCCCCUCAACCGUGCGGAGCCGCCCCACCUCUCUAGCCCGAUCGGGAUCCACCAUAGCUCGAGACCCCGAUCCACCCGAAACCACCGUCCGCCGCGGAGCUCGCCGCCGGCGACCCCCUCGACCCCCGCCAGCCUAUCAACCACUGGGAGGAUCGCCCUGGACCUGCGGAUCCAUCCCCGCCCUCGGAAUCCCGCGGGGAGCCGCCGUUCGUCGUCAGUGAUCGCCGGAGCCCGGCCACCGCUCGGCCAGAGGAGAAGGAGGCGCGGGCGACUGGUCAAACCUGACCAGUGGGCCCAAGGGACCCACUGUCAGUGACCCAUGAGUCCACCCACACUGGCUUAAGUGGAAACGUAUUCCACCGAACACGCCUUCGCUACGGGAAAGCGUAAGCCCCCGAACCGUUUUCUUUUUCUGAUUUUUAUUAAAAACAGAAUUUUGACUAAACUUUGACUGGCUAUAACUUUUUAAAUAUAAGUCCAAUUGAUUUGAUUUUUUUCUGUUGUUUCUCAAAUUUUGUCUAGUUUAUUUUCAUAUUUAUUUGAAAAUUUUACAAACAACUUUUUGUACUGUUUUGAAACUAUGUGUUAAUUUAAAUUUUCUUAAAAUAGGACUUUUGAAGAAGGAAGCAACUUUCAAAAAGUGCACCCCACUUACAUACUCCUGAAGGCAAGCAUUCUGAACCCCGGCAUAAUAUUUGUUGUGCGUCAUUUGAUGCAAAUACGACACCACCUUGACGCGAAGUAUUCGAUAUUUUAUGUGGUGUUAUGAUCACAUUCAUGAGUGCAUAAUGAUGAUUCCUUGCUGUUGGAAUUUGAUAUGCUUCGGAUAGUAAUCACCCUCGUAUGCCUUUCAUGCCUAUCGGGAGGAAUCCGGGAAAGUCUCUAUCUUGACUAGACACGAACUUGUCGCUAAUAAUUCGUUGAGACGAUUAUGCCCGAUAAGGCAGGGUGAGGUAUGAUGAGUGGUGAUUCUCUCUGUUGGUGUGAAAUAUAUUUGCUAUACUAAUCCUGCAGGGAAUGCCUUAACCUCCUGAGUCGACCGUAAAUCGAGUCUUGUUACAGUAACCCCCAUACUUGUUUCGUACUACCACUUGUCCCUGCCAUAGAUAGGGUACGGUUCAGUAAGUUGUCAACCCCUUCCUAGCACACACCGUACAGAGAGGCCAUGGUGGAAGAUACCGGCUACAUCCGGUAGACAUGCCACCUGGUCCGGGGGCAUGGGUGUUUCCGGUUGGAGCCGAGGGGGUAGCUCCCCUAGUUUGCGCGCGUUAUAAAUUUUGUGAUCCCAUGCUAGUCGAGGUUGUAGCCUCCCCACUUAGAGUUUUGCUUAAUGGGUGUCGUGGGUGAUUCCAGACACCGGUAAGUUAGACUGGUGUGCGGUCAGGUGUGUUUUCAAUUAAAAGACCGUAGACGGAAUUAGUCCCGAUGGACUAAAGGAAUCCGUUACUCGUGGGUAAAGAGUACACCCUCCGCAGAGAUUAUAUCUAUUCGAAUAGCCGUGUCCAUGGUUAAGGACUACAGUCUGGGAUGGGUCAAGUGUCGGUCUUCGGAGGAAAAAUUGCUAAACCAGAACAUGGAUCAUGACUUGUGACUCAUGAUGAUUAUGAUUACUAUUAUUAUGGACUAACCAUUUACAUUAUUUGAAUUAUUGAGUAUCCCUAGGACGGUUCUACCUCCUGGAUAUUCACUAUGAUCAUUCUCUUAUAAGCCCUUUAUGUGGCGUCGCUCAGACGCCCAACUGUGGCAUGCUUGUUAUUUAAAUUACUUAUAAGCCCUUUAUGCGGUGUCGCUCAGACGCCCGACUAUGGCAUGCUUGUUAUUUAAAUUAUUUAUAAGCCCUUUAUGUGGUGUCGCACAGACGCCCGACUGUGGCAUGCUUGUUAUUUCUAUUAUUUAUAAGCCCUUUAUGUGGUGUCGCACAGACGCCCGACUGUGGCAUGCUUGUUAUUUCUUUUAUUUAUAAGCCCUUUAUGUGGUGUCGCUCAGACGCCCGAGUGAGGCAUGAUUUAUCUUAUUAUCCUUUCGAGGCAUCGCUUCAGACACCCGAUCGGUGCAUUCUAUUUCUACUCCCUUAUUUCAUAUUCAUGUCGUAUAUGAAUAACCUGCUUGCGUGCAUCAUGGAUGUUUAUUUUGUGACUGAAGUCGUGAUCAUGAAAUAUUUCAGAGCAUGAUUAUCAUUCAGUAUGUUAUACCUGUGUUCAUAAUGUUUGCGAGUACAUUCAAAGUACUCACUGGCUUGUCCCUGGCUAUUGUCUUGGCCAGAUUUCUUGCAUGGAGAGGAGCAUUGCGAUGACAGCUUCGGAACCUACGCAAUGAUGAUAGCAGCCUCGCGAAGAUAGGAGUUAUCCAGGUCAGCUGUUCCUGUGGGAAAUGGAGUCCCAUAGACGCUGAUGAACCGCAAACCGCUUUAGCCAUCAACCACUAGAAACCAUUUGUUGUACUCAUAGGCCAGAAUGGUCUUGUACUACACAUUUUGUAUUUUGCUUGGAGUUUCUAUAUCAAGUUGGUGUCUCAUCAGCUAACAGUAAUCCUGGGGCUGGUGAGCAUAAGGGCUAUUUUCUGGGAAAUUAAUAUCCUGAAAAUCCGGUCCUUGACAGCUUGCCACGGUGGAUCUGAUAUGGUGUGGGCGGAUUGCUAGUGACCAAAAUAAUUGGUCGUUGAAUCUACGAC
rnacentral:lncRNA from 1 species